ensembl:lncRNA
GUAGGAACCAUUUCUGACACCUAUACAUUGUUGUGCCAUUGUUGAUUAGGAUAUACAAACAAUGGUUUGAUAGUUCGCUGCAUCCUCCCUCAGGUGCACGUGCUGAAGAGAUGCAGCAACAACUAGUUGGUGCCAUUGGUGGUCAACACACAUCUUCUCCUGCUGCAGUAUGGUUGUCAUAUGCUUAUUGAGCACGCUGAUAUGCAUUGAUGCUCUGAAUUUAGCAGGCAAUAUCGACAGAUCAGUAGGAAAAAGUGACGGGCUACUUUCUGCACAUGCCUCAUUCAAUGUGAACUGGAGUUACUUGACACAAAGC